rnacentral:lncRNA from 1 species
AGUGAUCCACCUGCCUCCACCUCCCAAAGUGUUGGGAUUACAGGCGUGAGCCACCGCGCCUGGCCAGAAAUUCACUGUUUUUAACGGAUUACUUUGCAGGCCACAUAGUACACAUCUACAGCUGGACCUGAGUCCAGGAACAAAACCAACAGCCCACAGCAGGAAGGGCGGCAAGGAGGGGCUCCUGAGGCCACAGCCCCCGCUGCUGCCGGCGGACAUCUUCACCCCCUAGGACUCCUGUGUCCCCUUGGUACCGGCUCUGGGGGUGAUGGUCACAAACAGGCACAUCUGCUCCCAAACCAUGGUGCAGAAGGGCUCCAGUGCUGGGUCUGAAGAGGAACCGGGAUUUCGUGCAGAAGCAGGUGAGCAGAGAGGAGGAGAAGGCUGGGUCACACCUCCCGGGCUCUUUCCAGAACUAUCCUGGGAGCUCAUGGCCAGAGAUCUGACUGGGAGGGUCUUGACCUUGGUAAGGGUCUUGAGUAACCUGAUUAGCAGCUUCCUGGGAACAGCAGACACCUGAUCACUGCCUGGGAAAACAUUUAAUUAUUAACUCCCGGGGAGAGCCACCAGGCAAGGCAGAAGGCGCAAGUCCCAUCUGCAUUUCAGACAAACAACAAAGACACUUUACUGCAUGUCCCAAAUAAUUGCGUGGGACAUUCUUAUACUAAAAAACUCUCUGCUGUUCAUCUGAAAUUCAGGCAGAACUGGAUGCGCUGCGUUUUAUCUGGCAACACCAUGGGAGAGCCAGGGGGGCUGGGCUGAGUUCUCUAACCCCGUGAGGACCAGCACGCCGGGAGGCUCCGCAGAGAGAAUGAAAGCAAAGCCGAAGACGCAAUCUGAAAUCCUGGCUUCCCCAGGAAAAGCCAGUGCCAGAUCAGAGGAGGGGAAGAGUAGCUACUAACGAGGAGAAAAGAAAAUCAUCACAGUCAAAGCAAGUUCAACAAAAACAGCAUUUUGCUGCUAACUUGCUCCAAGAAAACCUAAAAUCUUCAACUGGCUCAUUCGUCCUCCAGUACCUCUGAUGAAAAGGUAGACAGACUUUUCCACUAAUUAUUUCAGCCACUGUGAAAAUAUGAAAGCUGACCUGGGAGAGAAGAUACAUAAUAAAAACAAACAAAAAACCUCACGGCCAGCGCUGACUUUGUCAAGAAGAGGGACUCUGGACACACAAGGGGCACCUGGGGGUGCAUGCGCACAGAGGGAUGAUCACAGGAAGACACAGCAAGAAGGCAGCCACGUGCACGCCAGGGAGCGAGACCUCAGGAGGACCCAGCCCUGCCACACCUUGAUCUUGGACAAACAGCCUCCAGGACUGUGAGACCAUCAAUGUCUGUCGUCUAGACUGCCAGUUCUGUGGUGCUCUGUGAUGGCAGCCUGAGCUGACUCCUCCAGUCCCCAGGACCCUCCUGAUAGGUUUGUGAAACAGAUGCAUGGAACAAACAGAUUUCUGAAAAGAACCUCCAUCUAUCCAGGUUUCCUGGGAUUUCCCUAAUCACCAUCAAACAAACACUCUGUUACCAGCCCUGCUGGCAUCUCUGGAUGAACUCAAGAAACGGGAUCCUGCCUCUGAGUUUCCGCCCUCCACUGGUGUCACCGUCUCCUGUCCUGAGUUUCUCUCCCCGUUCAGCCAAAUCCUUCCCUUUCAGACUCGCUCUACCCCAGGUCAGAACCAACUGCCUAUGGUACACAAGCUCCCCUUCCUCUCACCUCAGAGGGCCUGGAGUCCACGCCUAAUUCCACAUCUAAUUCCUUCCUAAGCUGUGCCUCCUGACUCCAGCUCUGAGAACUAAUUCCAUUACACAUACACCCUCCAACCCUCCUCUGGACACAUACAUUUGUGAAAUGUAACUGGAUAGAACAAAAACACACAGGUCAUUUUGCUGCUGAAUUUUUAAGAGGGCUUUAUAUGGCAGUGUCUCAGAGAAAGGGGUAAACGCAGCAUUUCCCAAGUGCACUUGCCCCAGACAUUCUUUUCCCCUGGGGCUCAUAAACAAUCUCCCACAACAGGAAGAGAAGCUAUGGUCUGAGUUGCCCAUAGUCCCUUCCUUGCUACACUCAAGAUCUUAGAAGCAAAAGCCAAUCACAUACCUACAAUGCAUGGCCCACUGAGGCCAGCACCCUGCCAAGUAUUAUCGCCUGAAAGAGGGAUAGCAUUAGGAGAUAUACCUAAUGUAAAUGACGAGUUAA